AUAGAACUUAAUUUUGUUUUAUAGAUAUUCAGAGAUUAGUUCAUCAGAAAGCACGUCAAUAUUUUGUUUUGUUGUGGUGCUAAAAGUAGGAUGGAAGUAUUCAAUUCGAAAUCCUCCGAAGCGAAGGAAAAACAAUAAAAAGAUGGCAGCUUGAACAAGAAUGCAGGUAAGCAAGCAAAGCAGCUAAACUAUUUGAUCAAAUAUUAAGAGAAUAAUGAUUUAGGUGGUUGGAUCAUGAUCCAUUUUACAUUUACAUCCGUACUCUUAUAAUUUAUAAAUGUGAUUGCAAAGGAAAUUUGAAAUUUCAGCCACAGCUAAAACAAAAUUAUAUUGCUUUUUUAUGCACGCAUUUCCAAGUUUUACCAUGAUGCAAGUUCUACUUUGUAGUCCCGACAUCUAAACCAUAAAAUUGCUGUUAAUAAUAUUAAUGUCAGGACAAAUCACGUGAAAUCUUCCUCCAUUUUUUUUUUUUUUGGGGUAAUGUAAAUUGAGCUUGGAGUCGUACAUAUGAAAAGGAUUCUCAAAUAGCCACGGAAAUAGAAAGCACAGGAACCUAGUAUUCUCUAAUUUUUACUUUUUACUUUUUUUUCCCCUUCCCAUACUAAUUUUUUCAAUAACCUUUUUUAAUUUCAACCAGGGCCGGUUUUGGGCCGAUGCAAGUGAGGCCCUUGCCUCAGGCCCAAAAAUUUAAGGGGCCUCAUAUUUUUAUUCAUUUUAUAUUUUUAAAAAAAUAUCUAAUCCCUAAUUUCCUACCCGUAACCUGUCUUCCCUUCCCUGUCCCAAUUGCGAGAGGCAAGAGGUGAGAAACAACCAGAGAAAGGAAAGACCCAAGGAACCGGCAUUGACCUUGACGCUUGGUGACGCCGUCUUCUCUCUUCUCACUUUUCUCUCAGCCGUCUGCUGCGCCGCGCCACUACCUGCCUAUUACGGUAUAAAAUCUGAUUGGUAUGUAUUCCUUUUUUUUUUUUUUUUUGGGCAUUGAAGAAGUUUUUAGAUGAAGUGGAUUAAAUAGGGCUGUUAAUUGAAAUUUGUCUUUAUAAUUCAAGCAUAUAGCUUAUUCUUUUUUUCAUUGGCCAGUAAGACAGUAACUUUAGGAGAACAUUUGUGUAUAUUUAAGAAAUCAAAAACUUCUAUUUUUUGUACAGAAUAUGUUUGGUUAACUUCUCUUACAAAAUUUGCAACUAAGUAUGCCAUUAAUUUAUACCUUUUACAAGUCACAAUAUUUAAGAAGAUAAAUCUGCAACUCUGUUGAGAAUUGUUGAGUGUUGGCCUGAUGAUCCUUUUGAGACCUUUAACAGUUGCAACGGUAUUAUACAAUGCUAAUUUGAUUACAGCAGUCACUCAAUCACUUUAUUAUUGGUGAUAAUUAAGAUGGAGUUUCAAUUCUGGUAUUAUGGACUGUGGCCGUGGGUAUUGGGUAGAAAUUAGAAUGUCUGCAAUACACUAGACUACCAUUUUUCUUCCAAAUCUUCCUACCACCUACCCCAAUUUCAACUAAUAACAAAAACAAAAGAAACAUUUUCCUUAAGAAAUUCGGGAUGACUAUGUGAAUCUUUUUUUAUAAUUCUAUUCUAUCUAUUGCAAUAUUUAUUCGAUAAUCCCAAUAAACUAGAUCUACAUUAGUUCUUAUAAUUUGAUCUAUUCGUUCUUUGUAUGAUAUGAUCUAGUAAGACGACAGUCUUAAGAAUGCUAUUUUCUUUAAGUCUAUGAAGGGCGUGUCUCAAUUAUAUAAGUUGUCUUUUCCUUGAUUUAUUUUUAAGCAUUGCGACUAGGUUGUUGAAUUAAAUUCUUAGAAUUUGUGCAUUGUUUCGAGCUCUAUGAUGUGUAGGAAUCUUAGUUGUGAGUUCAUUCCUCGCUAAUAGGUAAUCUUCAUAGAAGAAUAAACUGCUUGAAAAUCCAGUGAACAAGAGUUUGAAUGGGAGCAAAGGCAAAAGAGAGACGUCUCGAAUAGAGCAUUAGUUGGGAAUUUGAACUAAUGAAAACAUUGAAAAGUUGUUCACGUAGGCACCUAUUUUGCAUGCAUAAUACAAUUUUUUUUUUUUUUUUUUGGAGAGGGGCCUACUAUAUGAAGUUCACCUCGGGCCCCAAAAAUCACAGAACCAACACUGAUUUCAACAACUAUGAUUAGUUAAGGAAAUUUUUCACACCUCGUGAGGCAAGUCACGUGACAACUUAGUUAAAUAUUUUAAAUAUUUUUUUUUUUGUAGAUUUAGAAGGGAGCCAAUUUGGGAAGAAAUAUGAAAAGGAUUCUCAAGAGCCAUCAACAAUGAAAGCAGAGGAACCAAGUAUGCUCUAAUG
rnacentral:lncRNA from 1 species